rnacentral:rRNA from 1 species
UACGAAGGGGGCUAGCGUUGUUCGGAUUUACUGGGCGUAAAGCGCGUGUAGGCGGGCCGGUAAGUUGGGGGUGAAAUCCCGAGGCUCAACCUCGGAACUGCCUCCAAGACUGUCGGCCUGGAGCAAGAUAGAGGCGAGUGGAAUUGCGAGUGUAGAGGUGAAAUUCGUAGAUAUUCGCAGGAACACCAGUGGCGAAGGCGACUCGCUGGAUCUUUGCUGACGCUGAGACGCGAAAGCGUGGGGAGCAAACAGGAUUAGAAACCCCCGUAGUCC